GCCUGGGUGGCUCACUUGGUUGAGCGUCUAACUUCAGCUCAGGUCAUGAUCUCACAGUUUGUGAGUUCAAGCCCCGCAUCAGGCU
rnacentral:tRNA from 1 species